AAGAUUGCUUUUAUAGAUUUAAAAUUUGAUUAUGAUUUAUAAAAAGUUAAAAUGAUAUUAUUUAAUUAUAAUUUAUGUUGUGGGCAAUAAAAAUUUACCUCGGCAAUAUAUUAUUUGUAUAAUACUUGUUCCAGAAUAAUCGGCUAGGCUUGUAAAAAUUUAAACUUUAUUUAGUUUUUAUUAUAAUUUUUUGAUUUUAGUUUUAGUAAUCUUAGGUUAAAUUUUGAUUAUUAUAGUUGAUAAAUUAUAAUUUUAAAAUUUGUUAAGCGAAUUAGAUUAGUACCUAAUUAGUCAAAAGUUAAAAGAGCAGGAGUAAAGUUGUGUUUAAACUGAAAGAAUAUUGGCAGAUUUUCUAAAUUAUCUUUGGAGGUUGAGUAAUAAUUGAGAACCCUCAUUAACUACUUUAAAAAUUUGUCUCAUGUAUGAUCGUUUAUUUUACACUUAAGGUGUAUAAUAAAAAAUUAUUAUUUAUAAAAAUAGAUAUAUAUUUGGUUUAUGUAAGAGUAAAAUUUGACCUACAAUAGUUUGUGUUUGUGGACUUGUAGUUUAGUAGCUAUAAUUAAAAUGUAAAAGACAGUAAAAAAAUUUUAAUGUUUUUUUGAAGAUUAUUUAGACGUGGUACAAAUCAUCCAUCAAUUGCCCAAAGGGGAGUAAGUUGUAGUAAAGUAGAUUUAGGGGAACCUUAAUCUAGUAAUAAACUAUUUUUUUAAAAUUUUAAUGUUUUUUUGAAGAUUAUUUAGACGUGGUACAAAUCAUCCAUCAAUUGCCCAAAGGGGAGUAAGUUGUAGUAAAGUAGAUUUAGGGGAACCUU
rnacentral:rRNA from 1 species